UAGGCGCUGGAUUGCUGUGAAGCGCUCCAAGUUUUUCUGUGAUCUUCUCGACAAGGAGGCUAUCAAGACCUGGGGCUGUGGAAUCAGUUUAAAACAAGAUCGUUGGGGAGACUGUCAUUCCAGCACCUGAUUAUCGCAUUCCAAUCGUUCUUCUGGGUCUUUGUGGAAAAAAAUGAGAAGCAAGGAGUGUUCUUUCUUUCAGGUACCGCUGGUGCUCUAGUUUACACGAACAAUUUGCUUUCAGCAGCUCCAAUUGGUUUGCUCGGCCUUCUUCUCUUAUUCCAAACCACCCGAGUAAGAUCCGCGUUCG